CUCAAAGUUUUCUUCGGCGCCAAAUUUUGGAAACAAAACUUACAAAAACAAAUCUAAAAUCUACCAAACGUAAAUUUAUAGACUACAGAAUGUCUUCUUCCGCAGUUUUUCCAGGGUCACAAGGUUUUUUAGUUUUCAAUUACAGGUGAGACUGGCGUCUCGUGGAUUUACUGUUUUACUUCAUGGGUAAUCAAGUGAUGUAACAUCGAGCUCAUAAUAGGAGGAAAUGGCGGACGUGAAAAGUUUAGAGGAAACUGAUAAUUCGACUGCUAUUUUGCCGCCAAUAAAUGUGGUACUGCAACAAUUCAUACAAAAGCUGAGCCACCAAGUUGAGGAGAUCAGGGUUCGUGCAUUGAAGAACAUCCUGUUCAAGCUUGAACACAAGCUGAUAUGUGUGUCAGAUUUAGUGCAGGAGAGAGAGCUGUUGAUCAGGCUAUUAGAAUGGUUUAAUUCCCCCUCUGCUCCACUAAAAAAAGAAGUUCUAGAGCUCCUUGAAAAACUAUCCAAGCAUGUGUCGGCAGCACAGAUCUUGCUGAGUAUUGGCACAAUAGAAUUCCUAUCUCAGCUGCGACAGGAUAUAAGUCCAGAUCUUUACCAGGAUGUUGACAACGUCAUCCAUCAGCUUCUUAGACUACCGCAAGAUGUGGACGAUAAACAUGAUGAAUGGUGUUUGUAUAAAGGUCACGGUGUUCAGCCAGGGAAUAAUGAUGCUGUUGUUGAUACAGGAACUUCAGAGAAUGGGCGUGGCCAGCUCAAGUCAUCAUCUUGCCCCAUCUUGUCCAAGGAAGGCCCCCCUCAUGGGCUUGCCUCAAGUCAGAGUAUUCCUCAGUUCGGCAAGCCCCAGGGUUACUUUGCUGAGGAUCUUGUUCCCAUCCCAUCCCAAUCCAACAUGCCGCAAGGGUCUCGAAGUACUUCCAGAUCACAUGACACUGCUCAACUGGAAAGCACAGCCUUAACAUUCUUCCGUUGGAUGUCCCUGUCUGUCAGUGAUAGACAUGUUUUGACAGCCACGGAUAGCCGACUUCAAAGCCGCAGCCCCACACUAGUGGCACAAUCCUGCGAGUUUCUCAGUGAUGUUCUCUUUAAAGAUUUUCCAGCAGAAAUAUUUCUACAAAGACCAAGUGUAUUUAGGACCCUUCUUGAUAUCCUUGACACCAGUAGAAAUACAACAGAUGACACCCUACUUCUCAGCACCCUCAACUGUCUUACCAGCCUCUGCCAACAUGUGCAGCGUCGGCUAAUGGCAACUUCUGACCCAGCCCUUUUUUGUCCUGACAAUGAUUGUUGGAAGAGAACAAGCUCUAAGCCAACAGCAGGGGUUCCCUCGCAGGAGAUGAAAGUAUCUGCUGAAGAACAAGAGCAGAUACAAGAGCGUGAAAGUGGUGAUGGUGGCCAGAGCAGCAACACACCUUCCCCACUGACCACAGAAACAGAUGGUGCCAGCCUGAGUGCUGGUGAAGAGGAAGAAGAGGAUCUAGUCGUGGAAGCUCUUCAGUAUGACCAGCUAUCAGUAGAAGAAGUCUGCAUUGCUGUGCUGUCUAAAGCAAUUCCAGCCACUACAGGUGUACUGUGCGAUAAUGCCCGCGUGGUGAUCGCCUGUCUAGAGUUGCUUUUCCAUGUGGGCGAUCUUCUCAGGAUGGUCACACCAGUAGACUUAUGGGAUGAGGAUUCUCAGACAUAUAAGGUCAUGGGUCCAAGUCUGAUCUCUUCAUUCAGGUCGCUUGGUGACGCAAUAGCGCUCCACAUGCGCAAGAGUGGUUACCAUGGAGACGUUGCUAUGGUGACGCCUUCGCUAUCCAAUCAUCGCAUGGCUGUGGUUAACUUGACUGCAUUUACUGUACAACUUAUACAGGCUUUGGUUCCACUGGAGCAGGCACCAAGAGUUAUGUCAUCGGGUCUGGUCACUGUUCUAUCUAUGGUGUCCAUAGAUGGUGUCCUGGCCCGGACACACAGACACUUGCAUGCAGCAGUGCUCGAAUACUUGAAUGUCUUGGACAGAACUUCAUAUCAAGUGUACACUUACCUGAGUGACAUAUGCCAAUCAAUUGUUGAUACCUGCAAGCUGUUGAAGUUCGCAACAGAAAAGGCUCAAGGCGGAUCCAUUAGCGACUCUCUAGCUCUUCUUGACAAAUCCCUACCCAGCCUCGCCUACCACAAACAUAUGGGUGUGGUUAGGGAAGGAGUACGGAUCUGUAGUAGGGCGUGUUCCUCAGCUAAUGCCGAUCCUAGUGUAGUGAAAACCAGCCGCAAGGUCAUUUUGAACAUUUUAGCGCAUUACGACUCAGAAAUUAGGCUUGAGGGGUACAGGUCAUGCCUGGGCGUGGUCACCGAGGCGCUAAAGGUCAGUCACGUGACAUACCCCGUAUCCACGGUCUGCCAGGGGAUGGUGGUACUGUUGGCUGAUGACGUCGUCACGCAGAUUUGCCGCUACGGGCUGUACGACCCUGAUACUAAGAUCCAAGAGAUGGCCGUUGACUUGCUAGAAAACAUGUUGCUAGGCCGCCUUAGCAUGAGUACCGAACUGUGGAGACUUCUACUGCUGUCAAUCACCCCAUCCUUACCAACACUCCAGGCAUAUAUCGGCCAACAGAACACCUUGGACCAAUGUGUACUUGACCUUAUUACAUUACAAGACCCCAAUACUGGCCCAAUGACGGCCGACGGCGAGGUCCUAACCUUGGCACCAAUAGAACAGCUCCGUGGCUCGCUCCGACUCAUGUUUUCUAAGAAUCCUAACAUCAGAGUCAAAGGCCUGGGAGCGGUGGCCUGGUUUCUGAUGACGGAUGCGAGUCAACAGUGGGGGCAGAGGUUUUUCAAAAGCCGCACCCCUGAUACCCUUAGGGAUAUCUUCAUUGUGGAUCAGCUUGUCUCAACCAUGAAUAGGCACGCGGGAGGGCCGCAUCCUUCCAUGGACAAGCACGUGUCUGUGCCACACCCUUCUACCGAAAGGGCGGAUAUCACGAAGCUUUGGGAAAUUUAUUCGUCUCGAGGAGGCGAGUGGAGCAUUAGGAAGUCUGCAGCUGAACAGCUUGCUAUUAUCAUGCAAGACCCUCAUUGGCACAGUGUCGUGCUUGAUGUCCAUGGAGACGAGGUGACACUAGACAUUCUACGUGAGAUCCUGAGUGCGGAAGGGGGCGGACACACCCCUGCCACGCCCUCACCCUCUGUCGAACUUGUACCUGCAUGUCUGAAGAUCCUAAGACUUCUGUGUGAGUUCAACUGGUCUUGUCGCCAUCGCCUUGCACGCUAUGUACACGUGUACACUAUCAUAACCAUGGCAACGGCCACGUGUCAGCCUUCUGCCCAUGCGUCGUACGAGGGCGCGUGUUUGAUGACCUUACUACUGUUUGACGAGCUCGGCGGAGAGAGUGUCGAUAAGGAUCACGGGAUUGCAUUUUCUUUGCCGGGAUUUAUCCUUAAAAGUUUUAAAUUACCCUUCAACCCACCCGUAUGUGAUGUUGUAAGCAAGUACCAGGCACAAGUUCCCAAAGAGCCCGACCCGGCCAGAUCCGGACCAGGAGUUUCAAUGUUGAGAGUGGCCUGGAACCUAGGCUGGUACGAGAGUCUAGAAAAGCUCUGCGCAGUCGAAGGAGUGGAGGACUGGGGACUAGCUGGUGACGACAAACGUUUCUGGCAGGCUCUCCGCUGGCGCACAUUAGACAGCCAUAUCCUCCGCUCCUGCUACACCACCACUUGCAUCGCCGAUCAGCUGACGACUCUACAGCGGGCAGCCUCGCAUCAUCCGGCCCGGAGAGCAGUGGGCGUGGUCCGGACGCACCUCAUAACGGACCUGGGUCUAGCUGGGCGUGGAAGCAAACUCGCGGUGGAGACUGUGUACACCCUUCAGUGGCAAGAAGCUUUGGAGAGGUAUCUGCAAGUGCUGCCAAAUAACACAGAAGACGAUGAGCUUCUUCUCGAGAUCCUGUCGGUCCUAUCAGAUAUUCUCACCAGUCCCUCUCCGCCGCCUGAGCCCGUGGUGGCCUGGAUGGCUCGCGUGGUCAUUAACAAUGAGGGGCCUUUGUUGACACUACUGCGCAUGCCUCAGAAUGACUCUGCUCAUCUUACAUCGGAAGCCGUCACGGAUUCUAGAAGAACUCUUCGCAAGACCCUUCUUGCUUUCCUCUCGACACUGGUGAAAGCCCUUCUUCGCUCGUCCGCGAAUUGGCGGUUCGACUCUGAGCGGGUUUACAUCGGCGAUCUAGCUUAUGCUGUUGCUCUCAACCUCGACUUGGCGGACAACCCUCAGUACUACGACCUCCCCGUGCUAGAGAGCGCUCUCGAGUGCCUAGGUCACGUGACGUCACGGUCACACUGGAGCACCCACGCCAAGGGCAAGAGCCCUAUGGAGCUGUGCAGUAGUAUGUUACGCUCGCUGAUACAGGUCGUGACGGCGUUUCACGCCGGUCGUCUCGGUUCGCGUUCCUCCUUCAUGGGGAAAGGCGUGACGAUCCACGCUUGCCUAUGCCUUACGCAUCUCGCUCGAGAAAUGCAAAUCCUUGACCCUGACGAGUCUUGGGCCGAGCACUGGCUACGUGCAAGAGACACCGGGGAUCAGCCUUUAAACUGGUUGGUCACCCUGUGGUCCGACCGCUCACCGGAAGUGCGUUGGAUGGGUCUCAGUAUCGCGUCUACCCUCGUCACGUGCGAGGCUGGUCAGGGGGGACUUGUGCAGGCCUUGCAGGGGGAUGCAUGGGCCGUGUUUGCUGUCGGUCUUACCAUACUGAUGAGUGAUGGUGACUGUGGCAUGGUUCGCCAUCAGGCGGCUCAUCUUGUACGUAACUUUGUACGGACGCUGAUAGACACCUCAAGCUCGCAGAAAUCUGGGAUCCCAAGUAGCAGUGGCCAAGCCGUGCAAGUCCUCCUUGAUCAUUACCAAUUCUACUCGAAAAUCGCCACCCUCCUCACUUCCACCAUCACCAGUCUCCGCCCUAUGACAACCAGCUCACGCGCAUGUCAGAGCACAGCUUCCGGUACAAACUCAACCACAACAUCCGGGAUACCCUACCAGCCUCUAGCCUCCAAUUCCCGCUCGGUCAGCGUAACAUCUGAGAUGAUCCAGAAUGCACUGCAAUCGCCUGAGUCAAACGGCGUGAGAAGUCCGGGAGAGGUGUCCACGAUCACCUUGUCCAGCGGCAGCAUACUGUCGCCUAGCGUUUCAGCGGUCUCGAUUGCGCAUACUCAGACGCCAACGUCGGUGCUACCGCUGAUCAACGAGAGGGGUCUACCUAGCGGAAUGUCAACCACCAAUAGCAGUGCCCAGAGUAGCGACCCCUCAGUGUUGGGCUCUGUGACGUCAGUAGGCAACCUGGUCACGUCAUCACUCACCCCAGGCUUCCUCGGUGCACUAGCUGAGCUCGUUCGCAGCCUUGUAACCGUGGUUCCAAGUCACACGCUGACAGCUAUCAAGAAGCUGAAUAUUAUGGCGGGAUUCUACAGCCACCUUGAUUCGUCCGAGCUGCAGACUUUCCUGCAGGCUCAGAAAGAACAGUCAGCGUUACCGUCCUCAAUGACACGCGCAGCAGUGGUUGUGGUCGGCGAGGUGAUGGAAAUGUACGCAUCUCUGGUCCUGGUGACACACGUGUUAGCACGUGUUGACCACUCCCUGCUUUACGAUCUCCGCCAGGAUAGUCGCACGCUGCAUAACAUUGCAGCGCUCUUCGUCAUAGACCCCUCGUUUGCAGAUAUACAAUUGAAGAGCACAUCAUACGCCCUUUGGUUGGCUGUGUCACGCUUAUUUGUCACGAUGUUACAGACCCAAGGUCCUGUCACGGUACCUAGCGUGACGGAGAAAACUCUGUACAAGUUUUGGACUUUCCUUGUAGCUAUUUUCAAGCAAGUUAUGGCAGACAUGAGCUCCCCACUCUGUCUCAGGGCGUCUCUUCUCGGACUCCUCACCUUGCUAAUGACAGUACAUAGUAGAAGAGCGGGCAAAAAACGUCGGGUUUACAAACGAUCCGCUCCUUCCCCCUCACGGGGCGAGAGUGCGCUCGUUCAGCUUUUGGACAAAGGGAAUCGUGACGACGAUGAAAACGGAAAAGGCGAGAGCACCGGGAUUCAGCUGUGCAGCUGCCUGAUGAAGGCCCUUGAUGAUAGCAGCACCCGGCCGAGUAAGAAGGAGGAACUGGUGACCAAGCAUGCCAAGAUUGCGCUCACUAGCCUUCUCGCUGUCAGUCAAACGUCUAAAGCAUCGGCGCUAAAAGAUGGGCUGGUAGAGACCACCUUGGACCAGAUCAAGCACAUUCAUGUCCAGCUCAACAUGGACUCGCUGCAGCUCGGCCGUGGACCAUCCUGGAAGAAGAGGGAAAACCCUUUGAUAGAUGAGAUGGUCGCUUGUCUUGACGUUUUGAGAAACCUUGUCUACCAAUACGAGGAGGGAAAAUUAGCGUGUAUGGAGUCUGGCCUGAUUGGCACUCUGUACAAGCUGUGGGCGUGGUGUACCGUGGAGUCUAACUUGAUGUCGGCGGUUCUGCUUCUUCUGUCCACCCUGACGGCCAGAUGUCCCAAAGUCGCCGCCUGCAUCGCUGGUGGCAGCAGCAUUUCCAGAGCUAGCCAAUCAGGGACCACCUUCUUGAAUAACUUACUGAAGACGGCGAGCUCCACGAAUCGCAAAAUACUCAGCAGUAAUAGCUGUCCGGACUUGGACACACACCUAGCAACGCACAAGGCUUUGUUUACACUGCUUGCAAACUUGGCGAUGUCGGCUGAGUGUCGGGGAAUCAUAUGGAAGAGUAACUUCCUACAGCAAUUUUCUUCCCUGGAGCCGCUCAAGCCCAUACAAGGUCGACCCAAGCAUUUCUCUCGCGCAGUUGGCGGAGCUUGGCUGUCACUCCUCGUCAACCUGUCAUUUCAUACUGACGGACAGGCCAUGUUGAUGAAAGUCCCCGGAUGUGUCAAUGUUCUGCUGGAGUUUUGUCACGUGACCCAUAGCAAGCAAGCGAACAGCGAGCUAGCACUUUUAGUGCUAAGAAACCUCUGUUUCCAUGGUAACACCAAGGCCGUGCUUCUGUCAAAUGAUGACUUGAUCCAGCUUCUGAUUGGACAGCUUGAUCAGCUCUCUGAUCACGUGAGAACCCUGGCCGCGUCCGCUCUUUGGAGCCUGGUACACAAUUGUCAGAAGGCAAGAGUGUCGCUUAAAAAUGCCGGCUUAGUGAAAAAGUUGGAAGAAAUGCGUUUAAAAUCAGGGCAUUCACCGCCUACUGAUGACACACUCAAGGACAUGUACAACAAAGCCCUCGCUGCACUGAACACAAAUCUUGUUUAGCUCAUCCUCUACCGGUUGUUCAAGCUCACCCUCUUUCGGUGCAUCGUCCCGGUCAAUUCCCGUAUUUCGUGGCAAGAUAUUCUUCCUCACAAUUUCCGGUUGGUGACCGAUGUCAGCAUCCCGAGGCUCAUCGGACGCCACGCUGUCCAUGUCACACCUGACUUCGCAGUAUAUCGGCUUUCCGGCCACGUGACCUAGGACCGUACCAUGUACGUUUGAGCCGGCGCUUUCGACUUUGAACGCACCCUUUGCAAUCAACUUGAUUUCAGCCCUGGCUUUCAUUGCAACCUGCAAAUAUAAAUCAUAUUAAUAACUCUCCUUUUUUAUCAAAUCUUGUGACGGAUAUUUGAUUACCAGGGCCCUAAAUUUCGUUUGGUGGGCUGGAAGCGACGGGUGAUGGAUCUUCUCUGAAACUGCGUAAUGACCACAAUAGCAGUAUCAGUACCUUAUUCCAGAUCUCGGCCAGACUGAGAAGUUCCUUUUUCCAGUAAAUAGUCAAGUCAUGCUUUAAGGAGUUAAUGUAGCCCGAGCAUGUUUUUCUAGAAUCAACUUCAGCGAAGUAUUUUAAGGCUUCGUCUUUGUUGGAGACUGGCGCUUCGCGUACAGGAUAGCGGUGGAGAGCCUGUGGGAGAAACGAAAAUUUUGACCCGUAGAUCAAAGAUGGAAAUAUUGGCAGUACAAAGACAAUCAGUAGGGAAAGAGAGGUGACAUUAAGAUUGACAGGCAGCUAGAUAGACAGACAGACAAUGGGAAAAGAAUGGUGACAUUAAGAUUGACAGGCAGCUAGAUAGACAGACAGACAAUGGGAAAAGAAUGGUGACAUUAAGAUUGACAGGCAGCUAGAUAGACAAACAGAUGUCCCACAGACAGUGGGAAAAUACAUUGUUGUAAUAUAUAGAUUAAGGCAUUGCCUAAAAGCGGAGCUUCAAACGACCAAA